UACGAAGGGGGCUAGCGUUGCUCGGAAUCACUGGGCGUAAAGCGCACGUAGGCGGAUUGCUAAGUCAGGGGUGAAAUCCUGGAGCUCAACUCCAGAACUGCCCUUGAUACUGGCGGUCUCGAGUCCGGGAGAGGUGAGUGGAACUGCGAGUGUAGAGGUGAAAUUCGUAGAUAUUCGCAAGAACACCAGUGGCGAAGGCGGCUCACUGGCCCGAUACUGACGCUGAGGCACGAAAGCGUGGGGAGCAAACAGGGAUUAGAAACCCCCUGU
rnacentral:rRNA from 1 species